rnacentral:rRNA from 1 species
GACGGAAGGUGCAAGCGUUGCUCGGAAUCACUGGGCGUAAAGGGUGCGUAGGCGGCUUCUUAAGUCUGGUGUGAAAGCCCAGGGCUCAGCUCUGGAAGUGCACUAGAAACUGGGGAGCUUGAGUACCGGAGGGGAGAAUGGAAUUCCUGGUGUAGCGGUGAAAUGCGUAGAUAUCAGGAGGAAUACCGGUGGCGAAAGCGACUCUCUGGACGGUUACUGACGCUGAGGCACGAAAGCGUGGGGAGCAAACAGG